GCGUUCGUAGUGAAACUGGACAUAACAGGAGUCUACGAAACUCCAGAUGAAGGUUCGAGUCCUUCCGAACGCACCA
rnacentral:tRNA from 1 species